rnacentral:rRNA from 1 species
UACGUAGGGUGCGAGCGUUAAUCGGAAUUACUGGGCGUAAAGCGUGCGCAGGCGGUUCGCUGUGUCCGAUGUGAAAGCCCCGGGCUUAACCUGGGAAUGGCAUUGGAAACUGGCGGGCUUGAGUGCGGGAGAGGGGGGUGGAAUUCCGCGUGUAGCAGUGAAAUGCGUAGAGAUGCGGAGGAACACCGAUGGCGAAGGCAGCCCCCUGGGUCGACACUGACGCUCAGGCACGAAAGCGUGGGGAGCAAACAGG